UACGUAGGGGGCAAGCGUUAUCCGGAUUCACUGGGUGUAAAGGGAGCGUAGACGGCGACGCAAGUCUGGAGUGAAAGCCCGGGGCCCAACCCCGGGACUGCUCUGGAAACUGCGUCGCUGGAGUACGGGAGGGGCAGGCGGAAUUCCUGGUGUAGCGGUGAAAUGCGUAGAUAUCAGGAGGAACACCGGCGGCGAAGGCGGAUUGCUGGACAGUAACUGACGCUGAGGCGCGAAAGCGUGGGGAGCAAACAGG
rnacentral:rRNA from 1 species